rnacentral:rRNA from 1 species
AUUGAACGCUGGCGGAAUGCUUUACACAUGCAAGUCGAACGGCAGCACGGGGCAACCUGUGGCGAGUGGCGAACGGGUGAGUAAUACAUCGGAACGUGCCCAGUCGUGGGGGAUAACGUAGCGAAAGCUACGCUAAUACCGCAUACGAUCUACGGAUGAAAGCGGGGGAUCGCAAGACCUCGCGCGAUUGGAGCGGCCGAUGGCAGAUUAGGUAGUUGGUGGGGUAAAGGCCUACCAAGCCGACGAUCUGUAGCUGGUCUGAGAGGACGACCAGCCACACUGGGACUGAGACACGGCCCAGACUCCUACGGGAGGCAGCAGUGGGGAAUUUUGGACAAUGGGCGCAAGCCUGAUCCAGCCAUUCCGCGUGCAGGAUGAAGGCCUUCGGGUUGUAAACUGCUUUUGUACGGAACGAAAAGGCUCUGGUUAAUACCCGGGGCUCAUGACGGUACCGUAAGAAUAAGCACCGGCUAACUACGUGCCAGCAGCCGCAGUAACAC